rnacentral:rRNA from 1 species
AUUGAACGCUGGCGGCAGGCUUAACACAUGCAAGUCGAACGAGCGGCGGACGGGUGAGUAAUGUCUGGGAAACUGCCUGAUGGAGGGGGAUAACUACUGGAAACGGUAGCUAAUACCGCAUACCAUCAGAUGUGCCCAGAUGGGAUUAGCUAGUAGGUGGGGUAAUGGCUCACCUAGGCGACGAUCCCUAGCUGGUCUGGGCGGGUGACCAGACACACGGGAACGGAGCCACGGUCCAGACUCCUACGGUAGGCAGCAGUGGGGAAUAUUGCACAAUGGGCGCAAGCCUGAUGCAGCCAUGCCGCGUGUGUGAAGAAGGCCUUCGGGUUGUAAAGCACUUUCAGCGAGGAGGCGUUACUCGCAGAAGAAGCACCGGCUAACUCCGUGCCAGCAGCCGCGGUAAUUC